CAGUGCUCGGCCCGUGCGCUUACAGUUCCCAGCCCACGAAAAGGUUCCCAGAUGCAUUCGGUGCCGACUGCCACCUCUCCGUCUCUGUUUUUCUCCCCUGCUCAUGCCUCUCUCUCACUCCCUCGCCGGUUCGGAUCCACACCACGGCCACACCUUCCGAUCAGCAUGGCCUCCCCUAUGCCCCUCCUCUCCAUCACUCACGAUCACCACCCUAGCAUGGAGCCCAGCCGUCUGCACAUCUUAUUUCUCCUCCCUAGCAGAGUAGAUCUGGAUCGGGCUCCUUUCUUCCUGCACCGUUCCCGGUACGCCAACCUCCACCACUGCCUUCUCUACAUUCACCUCCUCCUCCUACGACCCGUGCUACAGCAGCAGCGUCCCACCAUCCCCCAACCAUCACCUUCCUCCCCCAUUUUGUGACCCGUCGACGGUGCCACGACCAGGACGACCACCACUUCUGGAGCGGCCGAGUUCUGCCCGAGAAGGCGACACCGCACACCGACAAAUCAAGUCGAGCCGACGGAGCAGAGCUCCGUGAGGAGGAGGAGCUCCAUGCGGCCGCGACGCCCAAGGAAGGAGCAGCUCCGGUGCAGGCUGUCUACAGUCGCCAUCGGAGCGGGGUGCUGUUGCCCGCUCCCCAAAUCUCUCCGCCCCCUUCGGCUGCGUUGGGAUGUAGCACUGGCGCUUGUCGUCCUCUUCGUGCACCAAUACUUCAACGGGGUCGCGGACAUAGGCAAAUGGAGAAGGCCGGCGUAAAGCCGGGUCUCCUGUACUCGUGGUUGCUUCGAGGUCGAGUUGGUUGCUACAAAUCAUAGACUGGAACAACACUGGAUGUACUGGUGGAUUGGAGUCCCCUGUUUUAGUGCUUGGUGCUCUCUCCUUUGCUCUGACAGUGGUGACCGGCUGCAAGCAGAUGAAUUUGUGUAAGGAAGAAGAAUGCAAGCUAGUGAAUUAAAAGAAGCUUGAGACUCUGAUUCCUGUUGGGCCAAGCUACUUCCUUUUAUGAAUGGGUCAAGUCUUAAAUUGUUAGUCGAGUACACAUAUUUUUCAAGGUGGCUGGAGUGUGCUCAUAUGAUUAGGUAGGUAUAUUGUUGAAGCAGUAUCCCUGUUCCAAAUCAGUGACACAAUCUAACACUGGUACGACUCAACCCAAUCCAUCAGUAUGCAUGUAAGUAUGAGAAUUUUCAUGCCAAAAAUUGUUCUCGAUUGUUAGUAAUUGUUAUAUAUGUAUCUCAUUUCUGCGCAAUAGUUUGUUAGAUAACCAAAACAGCUGUAACUUCUUCCUAACCGUGUCACUUAUUUACAUUUCUUACAAGUUUUAUUUCAUAGUUUUUGUUUGCACCUGUAACAUCAGUUUCAGUUUUCACUAAUUCAGCCCAAUCUUCAGCCUGACGGUCUCUAUUUCAUCAGUCUUCAGUAUACCAUUGUUUAUUCUAGUAUUUCAGCAAAUACUCUUCAUUUUUUCAGUUAAUGGUGGGUGGCUGCUUUCUCUGCUACUCCUUGUACCUGCCUCGGCCACCAUUACCUUCGCGGCAUUCUGCAAUUGUAAAUGAAACAUGCAAGUUAUACCCCUCAUGGUGGUCUAGUGUCACAGAAACCUUUCUCCGCCAUUUGUGAGAACCUUGAACGAUCAUAUGUGUUCACUCUUUAUAUUGGAUGGGGCACCUUUGAUACCAUGAACGUUACACCCUCGAUUCACUAGAUGGCAAAACAAUGCAUUUUAGGUGCGACAAAACAAUGCAUUCAUCCUCAUUUUACCAUGUUGUUUGUGUAGAGCUAAUCAUGCAUUACUUUUGGCAAGCAGAUCAAAACCAUCAAACCAGGCCUUACUACCACGCCCAAAUUCAACUGGUCAAUGCCCCCUUUCUCUUUGCAUUGCCAAGCCCACCGGACAAAAUGCAUGCAUGUUUCCUCAAUAAGCAAACACGCAUGGCUGGUAGGAGUACACGAGAAAGGGCGCUCUGAAAUUUGCUUCAGUUCCUCUGAGCGCUCACAAACAAACAAAACAUUUUACUUCUGGCCACGGACCGUCUGCCAGCAGCCCUGCCAGUCUUCCCUCGGUUCACGCGACAAGGCAGUCCAUACACCAUCCACAUGUGAUCAGUGGGGCUUUUCACAAGUCUUUCUAGUGGAAGCAUAUUUAUUUACAUGUACCCAGUUUGGUUGGGCAUUAUAAAGUAAAUAAGGAAAUAUGUCACUUGUUUUAAA